rnacentral:lncRNA from 1 species
CUUCAUUCCAGUGAAAGAACAAGAGUAAAUUUCUCUUGCCCACAUUUCCUUGGGUGGGUCAGUGCCCAUCCCACUGCCACGAGAGUAGGAAAAACAUAAAAGGCAGAGCUGAGUUAUUUAAAUACCACCUCGUGCAGAAAGCAAAUAAGCCAGUGGCAAAAAAAGACGAAGAAAGAACUUGGCCAAAAAGCACACAAAGGCAUCAGCAAGUAUGAAUAUACUGCCUGGAAUGGUUUCUAUAAAAGUCAGGAAAUGGUCCUCAAGGGACCAGAGAAAGAGAAUUUUGAAGAAGAUUCCCCAUGGACUUAAAAUUGCACACAGGCUGCAUUUCUCUUUAGGAAGAUGAUCAUCUCACUAACUACUUCCAGUAAGAGUAUUAUAAGAACUAAGCAUAAUAUUUACUGCAUUAUAAAACAUAUAUGUGUGUCAACUAUAAUAUCUUGUAAAUCUUAAAAUUGUUCUUAGGUAUUUAUACUAAGU